rnacentral:rRNA from 1 species
GCAGUGGGUACGGGCAGACUAGAGUGCGGUAGGGGAGAUUGGAAUUCCUGGUGUAGCGGUGGAAUGCGCAGGUAUCAGGAGGAACGCCGAUGGCGAAGGCAGAUCUCUGGGCCGAACUGACGCUGAGGAGCGAAAGGGUGGGGAGCAAACAGGCUUAGAUACCCUGGUAGUCCACCCCGUAAACGUUGGGAACUAGUUGUGGGGCCGUGACGCAGCUAACGCAUUAAGUUCCCCGCCUGGGGAGUACGGCCGCAAGGCUAAAACUCAAAGGAAUUGACGGGGACCCGCACAAGCGGCGGAGCAUGCGGAUUAAUUCGAUGCAACGCGAAGAACCUUACCAAGGCUUGACAUACAGGUGGUGCAUGGUUGCCGUCGGCUCGUGUCGUGAGAUGUUGGGUUAAGUCCCGCAACGAGCGCAACCCUCGUUCUAUGUUGCAACUCAUGGGAUACUGCCGGGGUCAACUCGGAGGAAGGUGGGGAUGACGUCAAAUCAUCAUGCCCUUAUGUCUUGGGCUUCACGCAUGCUACAAUGGCCGGUACAAAGGGCUGCAAUACCGUAAGGUGGAGCGAAUCCCAAAAAGCCGGUCCCAGUUCGGAUUGAGGUCUGCAACUCGACCUCAUGAAGUCGGAGUCGCUAGUAAUCGCAGAUCAGCACGCUGCGGUGAAUACGUUCCCGGGUCUUGCACACACCGCCC